rnacentral:rRNA from 1 species
UGGCGACCGGCGCACGGGUGAGUAACGCGUAUGCAACUUACCUAUCAGAGGGGGAUAGCCCGGCGAAAGGCGGAUUAAUACCCCAUAAAACAGGGGUCCCGCAUGGGAAUAUUUGUUAAAGAUUCAUCGCUGAUAGAUAGGCAUGCGUUCCAUUAGGCAGUUGGCGGGGUAACGGCCCACCAAACCGACGAUGGAUAGGGGUUCUGAGAGGAAGGUCCCCCACAUUGGUACUGAGACACGGACCAAACUCCUACGGGAGGCAGCAGUGAGGAAUAUUGGUCAAUGGCCGAGAGGCUGAACCAGCCAAGUCGCGUGAAGGAAGAAGGAUCUAUGGUUUGUAAACUUCUUUUAUAGGGGAAUAAAGUGGAGGACGUGUCCUUUUUUGUAUGUACCCUAUGAAUAAGCAUCGGCUAACUCCGUGCCAGCAGCCGCGGUAAUACGGAGGAUGCGAGCGUUAUCCGGAUUUAUUGGGUUUAAAGGGUGCGUAGGUGGUGAUUUAAGUCAGCGGUGAAAGUUUGUGGCUCAACCAUAAAAUUGCCGUUGAAACUGGGUUACUUGAGUGUGUUUGAGGUAGGCGGAAUGCGUGGUGUAGCGGUGAAAUGCAU